CGCGCUAAGCAGGAACCGAGACUUUGUCAUUUGCUAGCAGUCAGGUACCUGAAGUAGCGCGCG
rnacentral:pre_miRNA from 1 species